rnacentral:rRNA from 1 species
AAAGUCUGACCUGCCCUAUGAUAAGGUUUUAUUAAAUGGCCGCGAUAAUUUGAUCGUGCAAAGGUAGCAUAAUAAUUAGUUUUUUAAUUGGGAACUGGUAUGAAAGGUCGAACGAGAAAAAAACUGUCUCAAUUUAAUUUUAAUUAGAAUUUUAUUUUUAAGUAAAAAAGCUUAAAUAAAUUUAAAAGACGAGAAGACCCUAUAGAGUUUUAUAUUUAAUUAUUUAUUUUUUAGUUUAAGAAUUUAAUUUUAAGGUUAUUAAUUAAAUAUUUGGUUGGGGUGAUUGGAAAAUUGAAUAAACUUUUUUUAUUUAUUUUACAUUAAUAAAUGAUUAGUUGAUCCA